UUCUCCCACAUAAACAUCUUUCACUGGCCCUUUGUAAUUAUGAUUCUUCUCUUGACAUCAUUGCCUUCUAAAGGAGCAUCUCUAUCUCUCUAUAAAGAAAAUGCAAAACACAACAAACUUUCAUCUAUAUAACGCUUCUAUAUCUCUCCCACUUGAUCAAAUACAUCUCACUUCUCCUCUCUGUCUAUUCCUGAUCUCUCUUCAAGAUCCAAACAUGUGUCUAAGUUCUUCAAAACCAUUCUCACACACACCCACGAGACUAGUUUUGUACCUCAAAACAGAAACCCACGUUCACAUCCCUCGCCUCUCCAGGAGGAGAAAGAUGUGGCGAGAAGAAAAGGAGUUGGAGAUGAACAAUAUAAGACUCUACAUGGAGAAUCAAUACAUGAUACAAGAGAACGAGAAACUCAGGAAGAAAGCUCUUAUCCUUCACCAAGAAAACAAAGCUCUCCUCUCUCUGCUUCAGACCAAAAACGUUUCCCUUGUUCCAUAAAACAAAAA